GAUGAAGAACGUAGCGAAAUGCGAUAAGUAAUGUGAAUUGCAGAAUUCAGUGAAUCAUCGAAUCUUUGAACGCACAUUGCGCCCGCCAGUAUUCUGGCGAGCAUGCCUGUUCGAGCGUCAUUUCAACCAUCAAGCCCCAGGCUUGUGUUGGAGCCCUGCGGCUGCCGCAGCCUCCCAAAACCAGUGGCGGGCUCGCUAUCACACCGAGUGCAGUAGUUUACUCUUCGCUCAGGGCGUGUGGCGGGUGCUAGCCGUGAAACCCCCAACUUCUCAAGGUUGACCUCGGAUCAGGUAGGAAUACCCGCUGAACUUAAGCAUAUCUAUAAGCGGAGGA
rnacentral:misc_RNA from 1 species